rnacentral:rRNA from 1 species
GAUGAACGCUAGCGGCAGGCUUAACACAUGCAAGUCGAGGGGUAGAAGGAGCUUGCUCCUUUGAGACCGGCGCACGGGUGCGUAACGCGUAUGCAAUCUACCUUUCACAGAGGGAUAGCCCAGAGAAAUUUGGAUUAAUACCUCAUAGUAUAGCAGUUUCGCAUGAAACCACUAUUAAAGUUCCAACGGUGAAAGAUGAGCAUGCGUCCCAUUAGCUAGAUGGUAAGGUAACGGCUUACCAAGGCUACGAUGGGUAGGGGUCCUGAGAGGGAGAUCCCCCACACUGGUACUGAGACACGGACCAGACUCCUACGGGAGGCAGCAGUGAGGAAUAUUGGACAAUGGGGCGGCAAAGCCCUUGAUCCAGCCAUGCGCGUGCAGGAUGACGGU